UACGGCCAUAUCAUGUUAAAACACCAAUUCUCAUACAAUUACUGGAGUUAAACAAUGUUGUGCCUGGAUAGUACUCAGAUGGGUGAUUGCUUGGAAAUGCUAGGUACUGUAAGC